rnacentral:rRNA from 1 species
UAUUUUAAAGAGAGUUUGAUCCUGGCUCAGGACGAACGCUGGCGGCGUGCCUAAUACAUGCAAGUCGAACGAACGGAGGAAGAGCUUGCUCUUCCAAAGUUAGUGGCGGACGGGUGAGUAACACGUGGGCAACCUGCCUGUAAGUUGGGGAUAACUCCGGGAAACCGGGGCUAAUACCGAAUGAUAGAAUGUGGCGCAUGCCACGCUUUUGAAAGAUGGUUUCGGCUAUCGCUUACAGAUGGGCCCGCGGUGCAUUAGCUAGUUGGUAGGGUAAUGGCCUACCAAGGCAACGAUGCAUAGCCGACCUGAGAGGGUGAUCGGCCACACUGGGACUGAGACACGGCCCAGACUCCUACGGGAGGCAGCAGUAGGGAAUCUUCCGCAAUGGACGAAAGUCUGACGGAGCAACGCCGCGUGUAUGAAGAAGGUUUUCGGAUCGUAA